ensembl:lncRNA
GGGGGAUACAAUCCUUCAAACGAUUGAUCGUGUUAUGAUAGCAGUAAACAGUGAAUCUUUAAUAUUGUCUCCGGAUAUUGGCAGCGAUGUGAUUAUAAUUUAGCAUGUCCCACUCAGAUAUUGUGAUGUCAAAAGUCCACAUAGACACAUUUACAAACAAUAAGCCAUUUCUUGCGUAUAUAUUCUAUAUAUUAUUUUGUUAAAAGCUGCUCGACCUUGGCUCACGUAAAUAUUUCGUCACAUGUAACAAUCCCUCGCCUCCAUAAUAUCAUUCCUCUUAGUGUGAGGUUUCCGGUUUGGUUGCACGCUUUUCUUGAUAUUGAGUUCCCCCUUUCGGUUAUAAACAUGAACAGCAACGUUUAACCGAGAGGUUCACCGGGGGACACGCACACCGUCUGCCCUACAUAAAAUGCACCCAUUGUAGGCCGAGGUGUCAGCUGAGGACGACUUGCAACCUAGAAACGGCGGUUUGGCCCCUCCUUCCCUUUGUCAGUCCUAUUGUAAACGUUAGUCCGGGGUCUUCUGAGGUAUUCUUAUUUCCAAAAACAGAUACUAAAAUUGGCAUUAACUGCAGAAGCGGCGUUUCAACCAUGCGAACGGAGUUUUCUUCUUUUCAACAAACCUUUUUGAGACCCCUCACGAUUUUAUCAAAGGCGUUGUCUCGGGGAACUGUGCCCAAUGACAUCAUCCCCGCCUUUUGUAUACAGUUGCUAGGGGUUACAGGGUGACAUUUCAAACAGUCCUGCUCUAGAUGUGUUCGGGAUACGCGAUUCAGUUUCUGUAUUAAUACAAAACGGACUACACACAAAGCUAUACUACAACAGUAUAAACUUUAAAACUUUGUGAGAUGGCAGAUUCUGGUCUAUCAGAAAAAGCACUUAUCACCGAGAGUGUGGAGACCAUUCGUACUACCUCAGUGUUCACGGACCCUUAUGAACGCUCUGUUAACUAUAUGGAGACUCACAGUAUUCUUCAGAUUUUUCAGGUGCAAAUGAAGAUCAAAGUCCGUGAUGAGUCAAGCAACACAUUUGUGAAAUCAUGAUGAAUUCUAAAGCAAAGUAACAAGGGCUUUGCAACAAAUGGAAUCCAAGGUUAUUCUUUUAUUUAUACAAUUCUUUAAAUAAGGUAUUGAAUGCUGUCAUCCCGUGACUCUGCAUUGUUGUUUCCAAGCAACUGUCUUCAGAUGUUCUUUUUUUUUUUGUUCCAAAUUUACCAUGUUUUGCCACAAUUUUGAGACCUUAUUAGCAUUCAUUUUCAGUCAAACAGCGCUGAAAUAUUAAUAAUGUAGUUUGUGAGGGUCUUUGACCUAAAUAUCUCAAUGAACACACUUAAGUGGCAAGUUAGAGCUAUUAAAUGUGGCAAAAAAAAUAAAUAAAUAAAUACAGUUAACAGAGGAAUUACUGACAGGCUUUCUCUGUAUUUUGGAGACACAGAAUCUGAGAAUUAUAAUUGUUACUGUUUUAUGAAUUAACUAUGUUUUAUAAGAUAAAACAACUUCUGUAUAAGACAUGUAUGUAUAAUACAUUAUGCAAGUCUUCUCAAAAUAAAUAAAUCAAUAAAAUGCUAGCUAGACAAAUGUAGCUGGCUUUGGCGCUGUACUUGAAUUUCAAUGGUAGAUUUUGGCUAUGCGAGUAAAGGAAGUCUUUGUUUAUAGUAGGGUCUUAUUACAGUGUAUUUCUAUAGUUAUCUACUGUAUAUUUACUCUAGAUCAACAUCUGGUGUUUUAAGAACGGUAUAUCACAUGCAGUCAUUUCAUUUGUAAAUAAAAAUAAGUUCAAAAUAACUUCACAGUUA